rnacentral:rRNA from 1 species
CCUACGGGAGGCAGCAGUAGGGAAUUUUCGGCAAUGGGGGGAACCCUGACCGAGCAACGCCACGUGAACGAAGAAGUUAUUCGUAAUGUAAAGUUCUUUUAACAGGGAAGAAAGAGAAAUUUGACGGUACCUGAAGAAUAAGCUCCGGCUAACUACGUGCCAGCAGCCGCGGUAAUACGUAGGGAGCGAGCGUUAUCCGGAAUUAUUGGGCGUAAAGGGUGCGUAGAUGGAAUAGUAAGUCUUUUGUAAAAAUGCUGGGCUCAACCCAGUAGGGCAAAAGAUACUGCAAAGCUAGAGUAUGACAGAGGUAAGGGGAACUACAUGUGUAGCGGUAAAAGGCGUAAAUAUAUGUAAGAACCCCAGUGGCGAAGGCGGCUUGCCGGGUCGAUACUGACAUUGAGGCACGAAAGCGUGGGGAGCAAACAGGAUUAGAUACCCGUGUAGUC